AACGAACGCUGGCGGCAUGCCUAACACAUGCAAGUCGAACGAAGGCUUCGGCCUUAGUGGCGCACGGGUGAGUAACGCGUGGGAAACUGCCUAUUGGUGGGGAAUAACGACGGGGAACUGUCGCUAAUACCGCAUAAGCCCUUCGGGGGAAAGAUUUAUCGCCGAUAGAUGUGCCCGCGUCCGAUUAGCUAGUUGGUGAGGUAAUGACUCACCAAGGCGACGAUCGGUAGCUGGUCUGAGAGGAUGAUCAGCCACACUGGGACUGAGACACGGCCCAGACUCCUACGGGAGGCAGCAGUGGGGAAUAUUGGACAAUGGGCGAAAGCCUGAUCCAGCAAUGCCGCGUGAGUGAUGAAGGCCUUAGGGUUGUAAAGCUCUUUCGGGUGGGACGAUGAUGACGGUACCACCAGAAGAAGCCCCGGCUAACUUCGUGCCAGCAGCCGCAGUAA
rnacentral:rRNA from 1 species